GCCUGAGCUAGUUGCAAACAACAAAUGAAUCUCUGGGUUCACCAAAGGCUACGAGAAGGAAGAAGCAAUGACUAGCUUUCGCUUUUGAAAAUAUCAAUGGCAGCAGUGACUCUGGUCUGUUUCUAAAGCUAAUCAGAACAGAAGCAUCUCUUAUAAGGUAGACUUAGCACUUACAAGAGCUCUGCCAAUGAUAACUCUGGCAUGGCAGCCCCCAAAUUGUUUUAGGAUCCCCUUGCGGACAUGGACCUUUGUUUUGUUUUUGUCUUCAGUAGUUGUGUGUCUGAGAGAAGUUAAACAAGAUCUUCAGGGAGGAGGACCCUUUUCCAAGAUGGAAUUCAGCCGGGGAACCUGAGGAAAACUGGGGGGUUCUGAUUAGCACUGCAAACCUUGAACCACUAAAGAAUUCCUGUUGGUUUCAAUUGGGGUUAAUUCACAGUGGGUGGUGUGAGGAUUGUGGCCCAAUAACCUGAUCCUUUACACUUGCUGCACCCAGAAUGCACUGCAGCAGCCAACACAAUUUUCCUCUGGACGCUACAGGGCCAAUGAUAGAUUACACAGGUACCAAUGCUUGGGCAAAUUAGCAAGCCAGUUCCGUUUUGCAAGCCAGCCUUUUGGCACAUAAGUUCCAUUUUGUUCCAAUUGCUUUGUACCUUGUACGUCUCAAGCUUGCUGUGGGGUCUCUCGUUCUCUGUGCUCUACUGCUCAAUGCGCUAUCAUCAGUCUCUGUUCAAAGAAAAAUGGAGAAUUAUUAGGGGCCGGCAAGUGUUUUUCCUAGUGGAUUCAAAUUAAUUUAGCGGAGUUUCCCUUCAGCAGCGAGCUUUGCGCCGAGCAUGUGGGAAUUCUUCUGCUGGCAUGGGCAUGUGAUGAUAAUGAAAUGUCACUAUUAUGGGAUGAGCAGGCUGCGGAGCUCAGGGCCUACUCCAGGCGGCAAAAACCACAGCCUUCCACGAACACCCCAGGGGAUGCUGAUGCAACGCAACCAGAAAGCCUAUGAAUGGCAGAUAGCGCAGCUCCCUGUGUGCUAGGCAGCUGGAGGAACUUUCUUCCAGUGUUCCUGCCUGCCUGCCAGCUGCUCUCUUAAUCCCUGAGGUCUCUUUCUAAAGUAGGCAAAGGGAACAGGAAGCUUGCUGACAACAGAGUCGAGCCAUUGUUCCAUCUAGCCAUUGUUCACAUUGACUAGCAAGCAGAGCCCCAGGAUUUCAGGCUUUCUCCCAGCCCUCUGUGGAGAUGGCUGGGGAUAGAACCUGGACCUUCUGCAUGCCAAGCAGGUGUUCUGCCCAAGAGCGACAGUGCUUCCCUAAAGGGUUGCAGCCAGGAAAUAAAUAUGCUGAUGGCCCCAGAAGAAGAAGAAACUGCAUCUGCCAAAAUAUAUCCCCCCUGAAAAAUGAAGGGGCACCGUUAUUCCUUCUCAGUCCUAUUAUGCCCCCCCCCCCCGGGGGCUAUUUGGGGAACAUGGGGCGGGGGGAGAAUAUAAAUUGAAUUAUUAAUAACAAUAAACCCCAAACUCCCUUCUGGGUUUUUCUGCAUAGAAUUCGUCCUGCGAGGCAGGCUCAAACGGAAAACCCUUUCGUCUAGCGGUUUUUCCGUCUUGCGAGGCAUUCGUCUUGCGGGGCACCACUGUAUGUAAGCGAGUCUUUGAACACGCUUUUUCGAAACGCCAGAAUUACGGCUCUUUCUGAUAAAUAAAGAAUGCUUAACGAACAUGCCAGAAUUCCCUAGCUCAGUGGAACAGGCCGUGUUUUUUUGUGGGCAUUUUGCCCUGGCACCUCCUGUUUGGACUGGGACAGAGUCCUUUCUGAAACCUCGCAUAGCUGCUGCCGGUCAGUGAGAGCAUACUGAGAUAGGUGGAACAAUGAUCUGAUGAGGAAUGUGUUUAAAAGUAACAUUAAGUAAAGCAUGCAGUGUAUAACAUGCACAUUCAGAGACAUACCACACAUGACAUAGACCUUUAACCCCUCCUAUGCAUAUAAAACCUAUGCAUAUAAAACCUACUCAUUAAGCUGGCAACACUUCAUAAAACAUGUAUAAGUACAUUCAUUCUUAGAUGCUUCUCAUUUGAAUAAAGCUAUUUUUCCCUGUCUUCCAAAACAAAAAUCAGCUUAGCACUACCGGAUCUCAUUUUAAUUAAAGCAGUUAAUUUGUUCGUUUUCUGACACAGAGGGGUGUGCAUUACAUUGGGUUCUCCCCCCCACCCCAGUUAUUUGCUAAUAUCAUUUUAGCACCCUCUAGAAGAUUACAAGCCAAAUUCCUAUUUACUUUCCUGACACAGUCUCUCGGGCUGUUUAAGAUGCCACUUUGUGAAGCGUAAGACAAAGAAUGCCUGCUGCGUUGCCUUCCAUUAUUUAUAAUCUCUCUCUACCCCACACAACCUCUGGUUGUUACAUCACCACAAAAUGUGGCAAGAGGAAAAAACCUACCAACCUAACACACCCUUACUGAGCAUUUCUCUUACUGGUAGUCACAUGUUACAUAGGUCUAGUACUUAAAAUAUAAGUAUUUGGAAAUAUGCAAUACAAUACAACUGGAAUUGGGUGCUAAUUCCUGUCGACUGUAGACUUGCUGAGAAAGCUAGGUUCCCUGCCACGUAUGUGAAAUGGCUCUUAUGCUAAGGUUACCAGAUUUCAAUGAAUCUGGGGACACUUUUCAAUUUCAGUGGAUUUUGUAUGGGGACUGAUGUGUAAAUCCGGGGACUGUCCCCGAGAAAUGGGGACCUCUAGUAACCUUACCUUAUGAAAAUUGCAAGAAGAAUGGAAAAUGGAGAAACUAGUUCUCAAAAGUGCCAAUGCUUUAUAUAUAUAUAUAUAUAUAUAUAUAUAUAUAUAUAUAUAUAUAUGUUUUUUAUUGAAAUAUUUUCAUGGAUAACAAAGGUACAUACAAUAUCUCUGUUUUCAAUUCAUAGAGUCCCUUCUACAGGACGAUUACAUUUGAUGUGAGAGACUGCUGUCAUAGGAAUUGUGAGGGGGCAGGGGCAGGGGCAGGAGAGAGAUAAAGAUAGUGUUUUUAUUGCAUUUCCCUAAAAAUUCCUUCAGGACAGCUUGCAAGAACAAUACAUAUACAAUAGCAACAGCAACAACAUCAUCAUCACAAAAAAACUGCAACACAAAUAUUGAUACCAAAAUCGGCAUUGGACAAAUCUUAACUUAAAAGCAUAAAAAUGUGAACCCAGGGAAGGUCUGUUUCAUUAAAACAGCAUUUGGCGUCUAUUGAAAGCCAAUUUUCUCAGGUGCCUGUUCCAAAUUAUGGGCACCACCACCAGAAAGACCCUGUCUCUUACACCAGAGAUAGGCAACAUGCUGCUCUUCAGAUGCUGUGGACUACAUCAAGAUCGCUCGAACUAUCCCAAACUAGCACAGUGUUCUUCAACCUUGGGUCCCUGGAUGUUGCUGGACUACAGCCCCCAUCAUCCUCAGCCAGUUUAGUCAAUAGUCAAGGCUCAUGGGUGUUGUAGUCCAUCAACAUCCUGGAACCCAAGGUCAAAGGUCGUUAUUUAUGUCAGCAUAUGAGGUUUUUUGAAGUUAUGCUUUAUAUAUAAUGGUAUUAGUAGAUAAUUCAUGGCUAAACUGUAGAUAUGUCCUCCUGUUAUUAAACAAAGCAGGAGUUUGAUCAGGGUUCUGUAGUGUAGUCCAAUCAUGGUGGUUGUGAGUGGGGGAAAAACCUCUUCAUUUUUUUCUCUGGAGAAGUCCAUAGUGCUUUGUUUGCCUCAGGCUUCUGCCUUUCAUUUGCUCAGGCUCAGUAAGGAAGACAGCCAACUUCUUAAAGCACCUUCGGCUGAGAGAUAAAAGCCCCACCCACCCCACCGUUUAUUACAUCUGGCUUGAGCACCUCCAUGAGCCUGGCUGAAUUAUAUCCAUAUUAACAGAACUCGCCAGAGCCUUGGGCUGUUUUUGUCUGGAAUGGCUCGGGAAUGGCUUUCAGUGCCCAUUUGUAAUGCUGCCUCAUUUGGUACGUUCUUCUUAGAAAUCCCUUCCUCUAUCGGGGCCAAUUCAGACAUCUUCCAAAUGGCUUCAGAGAAGCAAUUGCUGUGAGCGUGCUAUGUAUUCCGCCCCCCCCAGUGCAUUUCUACAGCAUCUUGAGAGAAAGCAGGCACCAAUAGUAGUUAGAAGGCUUGCGUAGUCCCUGCUCAGUGAUACCGAAGCAGGCAAUUUAGUGGACGCCUUUUGUAAUUGCCCAAUUAACACAGUCGUAAUGCAUCUAAUAACAAAGCUUGUCCACCCUCGGUUCACUAUUAACUUGGGUAGCACUUCGUACUUGUAUAUCUUCCCUCCAAGGACCCAUAAUAACUUUGGGAAAUGGCUGGUUUGACUUCACGUUUAAGAGGCCAUGGAGCCACUAUUAACUUUAAAAAUGGAAGAUCCAUCAUCACUGAUUUCCCACUUCAUGUCUAGUUGCGUGCUCAGUGCCCUGGCUUGGAGAGCUAUGCUGCUUGACCUCAAUAUAACUAGAACUCUCUCCAGUGCCGAUUGCUUUGUAAUCAAACUUCUUCUGCCACAAUCAUUUGCCUUUCAGCAUCAAAAAGUAAAUGGCCAUGAACUCAACUUACGAUAACUAAGGAAGUUUCUGUUGUCCCGAUUCAGCAGCAGAGCUCCGUCGUAGUAGAAGUGAUUCUGCUUAUCCGUCUCCUCCUCCACCAGCACAAAAGCAGUCCUUUGAAACAGGCACUUGCCUCGUUGCCUAUAGCAAUUAAAAAUGGUCUCCAGGCAACCAGCCAAGAGAUGCUUUGGUAAAUGGGAAAGGGUUGGUUUAUUGUCUUUUUCUCUAUUGCUGCUGAAGUGCUACAAAUGAAACUAGGCAGCAACACUUUUUUUAUGGGGUAGUAACUGUUGUGAAAUCACUUGCAAGGCUGCACAAAGAAAGAAAAGGUUGGAUGUGGAAAGACAAUGCAGAGGACUGUGACAAUAUUGAUCAUUGUAGAGGAGGAGGAAGCCUGUCCCCUCCAAGCGAAGGUACACCACUUCUUGCUUUUCCUUUUAGCUCCUGAAGCAAAUGCGUAUAUAUGCAUUGGGGUAAAGUAGGUUGCCUCUGGACAGCAAAGAUGGCAUGCUCUUUGUCAUUAGUUUGCACCUGUAGGCAAUUCUGGAAACGAGAAGGAAGCUUUCCUUCCCUAAACCAGGGAUGAGGAAUUUUUGGCCCUCCACAUGUUGAUGGACUACAACUCCCAUCAUCCCUGACUGACCACUGGCCAUGCUGGCUGCGGCUGAUGGGAGUUGUGGUCCUGCAACAUCUGAGGUGGCCACAGGUUUCUCACCCCUGCCCUAAACAAAUGAAUGCCUUAAACCCUUAGGCCCUUGUUCCUCAAAAUUGUUGUUGUUGUUGUUUAGUCGUUUAGUCGUGUCCGACUCUUCGUGACCCCAUGGACCAGAGCACGCCAGGCACUCCUGUCUAACACUGCCUCCCACAGCUUGGUCAAACUCAUGUUAGUAGCUUCGAGAACACUGUCCAACCACCUCGUCCUCUGUCGUCCCCUUCUCCUUGUACCCUCAAUCUUUCCCAACAUCAGGGUUUUUUCCAGGGAGUCUUCUCUUCUCAUGAGGUUCCUCAAAAUACCUCCACAUAUUUCCCAGUCCCUCACAAAUAAGUGUUGCUUUCCCCUUAUGGUGACAGGUAUGCCUUUGGGUGCCAGGUGGCGGCAUGCAACUGUGAAGCAACAUAGUAAUAGUAACAGUAUUAGUAGUAAUAAAAUUGUUUGUAUCCCGCCCACCUGACUGGGUUGCCCCAGCCACUAUGGGUGGCUUCCAGCAUAUACAGAAACAUAAUAAAUCAUCGGACAUUAAAAACUUUCCUCAGUAGCAGGACAUCUGUUUUGCAUGGCAGAAGGUCCUAGGUUCAAUUUCCAGUAUUUCCAGGUCAGGCUGGGAAAGAAGCCUUCUAGAAGAGCUGCUGCCAAUCAGUGUAGACAAUACUGAGGUCAAUGAACUUGAUGCUCUAUUAAAGCAUGAUUAUUGCCUGCCACCAACUAGAAAAUCUGCUGUUUGUGGGCUUCCCAGAGGCGCCUGACUAGUUACAGUGGGAAAUAGGACCCUGUUUUAGUUGGACCUCUUGGUCUAAUCCGGCAGAUCUCUUCUUAUGCUCAGGGUUCCAUCAAGUGACAAUAGUGUGUGAUUGGCAAUUCCUGUGAUGGGGCUGUCAUGCAGUCAAAUGCACACAUUCAAAGAGGUGACUUUCUGUCUACCCCUUCCCUAAGUUGAUGCAUCCCAGAUUAUUGUCUCUAGAAUUCCCAUCAGCCACAGACAACAUACUGCACAGCUGCACUGGCUAGAGCUAAUGGGAGUCGUAGUCCAAAACAUCUGGAGUGCACCAGGUUGGGGAAGGCUGGUCUACCCUUUGACAAAACAAAGGUGGGGACGAAAUCUCAGUGGUUUCCAAUGAGUGGCCUCCCCAGAUCAGCAGGCGUCAUAAGCAGGCAAGCUAAUGUGUCUGCCUCCCAGAGCUGUGAGUGGUAAGAGGAGGGAAGAGGUGAGAAAAGUCAAGAGGAAUUCAAGCUUCUGUGUUGCCUGAGUUCUGUGUUGCCUGAGUUGCCAAAAACUGCAUUAAGCUGCAAUAUUGAUAACUGAGGGCUGAUCUAAUGAUCUCGGAGCCUUCCUCUUCCAAGAUUAGAACCGAUCAGGGCAAGCGCUGGAGUUCAGAAUGCCAUUGCCAUUCUUCUUUAUAAUGAUGAAAAUUGCUUUAGUUCCUCUCCUUCCAUCAGCAUAAGAGCUUUGAGCGCCAAGGCUCCGUUUUCAUGAACAAAUGCAAGCAGUUCACCUUUGGCGUAAUUGAACAAAGAGGACCACAUACGUCCUUUAUCUAGGUUUGCUGGGUAAUCAGAAGUGGGAGAGAGAGAACUGAUAAUAUUUGCAGAAUAGCAAAUAUUCAGUUCCGUGCACAUGAUUAUGAUUAAGGCUUAAAGACGGUUAGGCGUGCUUCAGCCAACUGAGUUCGUGAGCUGUCCCUUAUCAGUGACUGGGUUGCUAUGAUGGCACAGGUUCUUAAAACAUUAGAGAUCAAAACACUGCCCCUUAACUGAGCUUAUGUGAUGCUAUGGAAUGUUUACAGAUACUCUUACUGCUGAGAUGGAAAAUUCAACCUGAAAGGGCCACAUGGGGAGAAUAGACUGAAUUGGAGUGAUUCAGAGCCAAACAUCCAUUGGUCUGAGCACAAUCAUUAGAGACCUGAAAGAAUCUUACUUACGGUAAUUUGGCGUUUGUCUGGUCCAAUUUGCAGCUAGCUAGCAAAGUAGCCAUUAUAUCUCAUCUGACAUUCAGACAAAUCUGUCCCCUGCUCUGAUUUUAUUUUGCUUAUUUUCAGAAUUUAUAUGACGGCCUUCAAUAAAUCUUUCUGAGGUGCUUUAUGAGGGAGAAAGCAUUACAUUGUAAAACCACAAAAGGCAAGUUAUAAAACAGAAACGAUAAUAAGAUUAAAACUUGCAGAUGUUAGAAGGGG